AAACCAGCCAAUUGAUCUGCAUAUCUUAAUGUGUUUCUGCAGAAAUUUAGAAAGGGCUAGCAAUAGUGUUACCAUGUUAUGAGCCUUGAGGACAGCUGCAGUCUUUAAGGUCCUUGAAAAUGGCUACAGUA
ensembl:snoRNA